CCGACUCCUCCCUAUUACCUUUCUUGUAAAUGGGCACAACAUUCGCUAACUUCCAAUCUUCUGGGACUACUCCUGUUAACAAUGAUUGGUUAAAUAAAUCUGUAAAUGGUUUUGCUAGUACACACUAAGCUCUUUUAAUAGCUUUGGGUGUAUUCCAUCAGGUCCCAUUGACUUAUUUGUCUUUACUUUUGACAGUUGAAAUAGAACCUCUUCCUCUAAACUCACGUGUAAUAAAUGACUCAUUUGUCCUUUUUCUCAACUGAGGUCCCUUUCCUUCAUUUUCAUCUGUAAAUACAGAACAAAAAUAUUCAUUGAGGCAGUCAGCUAGACCUUUAUCCUCUUCUACAUACCUUCCUUCUUUUGUUUUUAAUCUAACUAAUCCUUGUUUUACUUUUCUUUUCUCAUUUAUGUAUCUAAAAAA